rnacentral:rRNA from 1 species
CCUACGGGGGGCAGCAGUGGGGAAUAUUGGACAAUGGGGGCAACCCUGAUCCAGCCAUGCCGCGUGUGUGAAGAAGGCCCUCGGGUUGUAAAGCACUUUCAGUGAGGAAGAACGCCUGGUGGUUAAUACCCAUCAGGAAAGACAUCACUCACAGAAGAAGCACCGGCUAACUCCGUGCCAGCAGCCGCGGUAAUACGGAGGGUGCGAGCGUUAAUCGGAAUUACUGGGCGUAAAGCGCGCGUAGGUGGCUUGAUAAGCCGGUUGUGAAAGCCCCGGGCUCAACCUGGGAACGGCAUCCGGAACUGUCAAGCUAGAGUGCAGGAGAGGAAGGUAGAAUUCCCGGUGUAGCGGUGAAAUGCGUAGAGAUCGGGAGGAAUACCAGUGGCGAAGGCGGCCUUCUGGACUGACACUGACACUGAGGUGCGAAAGCGUGGGUAGCAAACAGGAUGAGAUACCCUAGUAGUC